rnacentral:rRNA from 1 species
UACGAAGGGUGCAAGCGUUACUCGGAAUUACUGGGCGUAAAGCGUGCGUAGGUGGUUUGUUAAGUCUGAUGUGAAAGCCCUGGGCUCAACCUGGGAAUUGCAUUGGAUACUGGCAGGCUAGAGUGCGGUAGAGGAUGGCGGAAUUCCCGGUGUAGCAGUGAAAUGCGUAGAGAUCGGGAGGAACACCAGUGGCGAAGGCGGCGACCUGGGCCAAUAUGACGCU